rnacentral:lncRNA from 1 species
CAUCUUUGGUCAGACGUGAGUUCAAAGAUUUGUUUCAGUUUGAUAAAUUUAUUGGAAGAAGUCUAGAUUACCUGUCCUCAUAGCGCGACGCGACGCCAAUGGAUGUUAUGGCGUCGCGUCGGAUGUUAUGUUAUAUUCGGCUGUUUUUGUUUGGAAUAAUUGGAAAAAAGUUAGUGACCAUUGGCCCGGCGGCGGUUCGUAAUCGGUAUUCCGGCCCCGACUGUGUACCACAGGGUGAACUUAUAUAUUCCUCGCCUCGUAAGAGGCAUGCGCCGUCGCGCGAUAGCGCGACAAGCAACAGUAGCCGUACUGGUGUAUACGUUUACUGUUCGUGGGGAAAAAAAAAGUGCUUGGUUAUCGUCGUGU